UGACGAACUGACUGAAGAGCCGGUUAAUUAACCCCAGUCAUGUCAUAGUGUCGAGUCGAGUGCCAUACGUCAAUGAACCGACUCACUCCUGUUUUCUUACCUCAUUGCUUCGCUCAAGCUGAGUGCGAUUGGUGUAUGCUCCAUUGUGUAUAGCUGUUCUACUUCUGCUACUAUGUGUGUAGUAAUCUAGCUCAUUAUUGCCUCCACUGGAGUGUUGGUAGAAUCAAUCAGGAAAUGGGCUACCUCGUGCAGCACGAUUGGACCAAAAGAGUUGUUGAAUAGUUGUAGAAGAACG